rnacentral:rRNA from 1 species
GGAUAUCUUUAGUAAUUGCGAAUGAACAAGGAUAUGCUUAGCUUGACAAAUGGAGCUAUUGGCUUUGAAUUGUAUUGUGGAAAUGUAUUACCAACAGAGGUGCAGGUGCCAGCCUAUUGAAAUAAAGCGUCAAUGAGGGUGAGAAUCCUGUUUGUCAUGUGCAGCCCUUUGUGCACGGUGUAUAUUUGCUGAGUCACACUCCUUGGCAUUGGAAUGCAAAGUGGGUGGUAAGUUUCAUGUAAAGGUAAACAUGCAAUUGAGACUGAUAGCACACAAGUACCAUGAGGGAAAUAUGAAAAGGACUUUGAAAAGAAUUAAUGACUUUGUAUUUGCUGAACACAAAGUAAACAGACUUGAUUUGCUUGGUGGGAGUGUUGCACUUGCUUGACAAGAGCUUUGGGCUGUGGGUGUAAUGAUUCUUUCUUUGCAUGCCAGUUUCUAUUUGUACAUCUGAUUACCUUUGCACAUGAAUGAUAAGUCUCCUGUGGGGGUGGAUUGCAUGUGCAUGUAAUGAUUUGUGUUUUGAUAAAUGUGUCUGGUGUAUGUGUGUGUUCCUGUGCUUGGGGAUGCUUCCUUCCUUGGACUUACAAGCCCUGACACACACAUGCUGGCAAAAUGCUUCUGCUUGACCCGUCUUGAAACACGGACCAAGGAGUCUAACAGAUGUGCAAGUUUAAGGUGGUAUACCUUUGUGUGCAAUGAAAGUGUCAGCUGGGAUAUGUGCACCAGCACCCAAUUAAUUAGCGACAGAGGUUUGAGUUGGAGCAUAUCUAUUAGGACCCGAAAGAUGGUGAACUAUGCCUGAACAGAAUGAAUUCAGAAGAAACUCUGAUGGAGGUUCGUAUCGAUACUGACGUGCAAAUCGUUCGUCAUAUUUGGGUAGGGGCGAAAGACUAAUCGAACCAUCUAGUAGCUGGUUCCCUCCGAAGUUUCCCUCAGGAUAGCUGGAGUUGCUCAGUUUUAUGGUAAAGCGAAUGAUUGAAUGGGGCAGGUUUGUCUUUGACAUUCCAAACUU